ACAGCAGUAGCCGCGGUAAUACGUAGGUGGCAGGCGUUGUCCGGAAUUAUUGGGCGUAAAGGGCUCGCAGGCGGUUUCUUAAGUCUGAUGUGAAAGCCCCCGGCUCAACCGGGGAGGGUCAUUGGAAACUGGGAAACUUGAGUGCAGAAGAGGAGAGUGGAAUUCCACGUGUAGCGGUGAAAUGCGUAGAGAUGUGGAGGAACACCAGUGGCGAAGGCGACUCUCUGGUCUGUAACUGACGCUGAGGAGCGAAAGCGUGGGGAGCAAACAGGAUUAGAUACCCGAGUAGUCCCUGUCUCUUAUAA
rnacentral:rRNA from 1 species